rnacentral:lncRNA from 1 species
CUCUAAUACCCGUUGGAUAUCACUCCGCCUGGUGUACAUGCACAACCUGGGAUUAGCGCCUCUGGAAGCCCCCUCAGCUGAAGGGGCCCUAGGGUAGGAGGGGCCCUGGGGCAGGAGAGCCCCCACCUCCGUUCCGGUGAUUCUCCCUCACAUUCCCUGCCUGUGGAGUUGAAUUCAGCAGGGUCUCCUACGGCAUCCUCCUUCCCUUCCUAUUCUACUGGUACCCUCACUCCUGGCCCCUGGGGUGACUGCUCAAACAAACCAACAGUACAAAGUCCUUGAGACCCAAGCCAGAUUGAGCUGUGAAGACUGGCUAAUGCUCAUCUUCGGCAAAACUGGGUUCUAGUUCCGUCCACGACACCAUCAGAAGGAAAUAAUCACGGAUCCCCUGCUUCCCUUUUCUGCAGGGCCUCACGUAGGUCACGCACGCAAGCAUUCCACCACUGAGCCCCAGCCACAGCCUGAGUGAUCUUGUUCAAGAACACUGGGCCCGUGUUACUGCAAGUCCAUCGUUUCCUGCCUGGCUCAGGCCCUCACAGUGCUUCCAGAUCACCUGUUUGACUGUGACAGAUCCCUUCCCCUGGCCUAGGGCUCUCCCUCAGCACUGCCCCCGUGCCUUUCUCACAGGGCCUUCCCUCUUAACC